GACGGAGGAUGCAAGCGUUAUCCGGAAUGAUUGGGCGUAAAGCGUCCGCAGGUGGCAGUUCAAGUCUGCUGUCAAAGACCGGGGCUUAACUUCGGAAAGGCAGUGGAAACUGAACAGCUAGAGUAUGGUAGGGGCAGAGGGAAUUCCUGGUGUAGCGGUGAAAUGCGUAGAGAUCAGGAAGAACAUCGGUGGCGAAGGCGCUCUGCUGGACCAUAACUGACACUGAGGCGCGAAAGCGUGGGGAGCAAACAGG
rnacentral:rRNA from 1 species